rnacentral:rRNA from 1 species
UUUUAAGCGGGAGGUUUAAGGCUACGGCUUAACCGUAGUUCGCCUCUCGAACUGGAAGACUUGAGUGCAGGAGAGGAAAGCGGAAUUCCUAGUGUAGCGGUGAAAUGCGUAGAUAUUAGGAGGAACACCGGUGGCGAAGGCGGCUUUCUGGACUGUAACUGACACUGAGGUACGAAAGCGUGGGGAGCAAACAGGAUUAGAUACCCUGGUAGUCCACGCCGUAAACGAUGAGCACUAGGUGUCGGGUCAAAAGGCUCGGUGCCGAAGUUAACGCAUUAAGUGCUCCGCCUGGGGAGUACGUACGCAAGUAUGAAACUCAAAUGAAUCCGGAUAACGCUCGCGUCCUCCGUAU